UACGUAGGAUCCAAUCGUUGUCCGGAAUUACUGGGUGUAAAGGGUGCGCAGGCGGACUUGUGCGUCAGAGGUUAAAUACCCCGGCUCAACCGGGGAAAUGCCUUUGAAACGGCAGGUCUUGAGUGCGAGAGAGGAUGGUAGAAUUCCUGGUGUAGCGGUGAAAUGCGUAGAUAUCAGGAGGAAUACCAGUGGCGAAGGCGGUCAUCUGGGUCGCAACUGACGCUCAGGCACGAAAGCGUGGGGAGCAAACAGG
rnacentral:rRNA from 1 species